UACGUAGGGUGCGAGCGUUGUCCGGAAUUAUUGGGCGUAAAGGGCUCGUAGGCGGUUUGUCGCGUCGGGAGUGAAAACUCAGGGCUUAACCCUGAGCCUGCUUCCGAAUACGGGCAGACUAGAGGUAUGCAGGGGAGAAUGGAAUUCCUGGUGUAGCGGUGAAAUGCGCAGAUAUCAGGAGGAACACCGGUGGCGAAGGCGGUUCUCUGGGCCGAUACUGACGCUGAGGAGCGAAAGCGUGGGGAGCAAACAGG
rnacentral:rRNA from 1 species